AUUAGAACAAAGCUCUCCCCUGCUUUGGGAGUAGCUUUGGGGGCUGUGCUUUCGCACAGGGGAAAAUCCCCUUUCACCCUUUCUUUGACCCCAUCGUCCUCUAGCCCUUCGGGUCUCUGCUUUCUCUCAUCAGGCCACAGCAGCAUUCCUAACCCUGGAUCUUCCAACCUUUCACUGUGGUCCGCAACCUGUGAAUGUUGAUCAUUCAGAAAGCCACCUGAGAGCGUUUCUUGUAGGAAAAUGGUCAGGUCCAACUCUAGCCCACGAACCAUGGCUUGAUCUACCCUAUCUGCAGAAUGGGCCCUCAGGUUUUCAGACGACAGCCAAGAGAAGGCACUGCAAGACGUGGCUCCAUCUACCUUUCCUAUGUAUUCUUCUCCACUUAGUGAAAAAGCCAUUGCACGGAAGAUUUGGAGUUGCCCACUAAGAACAAACACUAAGAGAAGGUUGCCGUUGAGAUACCAUACACCCUCGUCUUCUGCCAGACAAGUCCUACCCAUUUCCAGCCAUGUCUUUGCACUUAGCUCUUCCCUCUUGUCUGAAUGCUCUCUUCUCAAGGGUCCCCAUCAGGAGCCUGCCUGUCAAAUCCCAGGGCAAAGCUUCCUCUAUGAACCCUCCCUUGGCCUCCUCACUGUCUUGGUGAUGUGUCUCUUUUGUGUGCUUCCUAUUGAUUCCUACUGAAGAGAUCCAAGCUCCGACUCAUCUCGCCCUCGCUGCAGCUCAUUUGCAGGAGGACCGUGUCACGGAACCUGGAUAAGCCUUUUGGCUGCCAGAAACACGUUUUCCAUUACUUCUACAGGAAUCUGAGGAAUUUCAUCUCGAGAGCAAGCUGGACAAAGAUGACUUCUGGGACAAUCAUAACCAUGACUUUCUUGGCUCUUGCCUCUCAUGGAACCAUUUUUGCAGCUGUGGGAGCCUGUGUAAGACUUGCAGAAGACCAAGGAAGUCAAUGGUCCAGCAUGGAGUGGGAGGGGCUCAGAUGAUGACCAGUGACUCUGCAUGGGAGCUACUGAUGGCUGCUAGAGAGUGGUGAUGCUGGAGGGUGUUCUCUGGUAAGUCAAUCACUCAUUGGGUUUCCCACCCCACAUGUGUGUAUGGGCCACAUUAAUUAAACUCAGUGGGUUACUG
rnacentral:lncRNA from 1 species